rnacentral:rRNA from 1 species
UACGAAGGGGGCUAGCGUUGUUCGGAAUUACUGGGCGUAAAGCGCGUGUAGGCGGCCAGGUAGGUCUGCUGUGAAAACUCGAGGCUCAACCUCGAGAUGUCGGCGGAAACCAUCUGGCUAGAGUCCGGAAGAGGAGAGUGGAAUUCCUGGUGUAGCGGUGAAAUGCGCAGAUAUCAGGAAGAACACCCGUGGCGAAGGCGGCUCUCUGGGACGGUACUGACGCUGAGACGCGAAAGCGUGGGGAGCGAACAGG